rnacentral:miRNA from 1 species
AUCGUUUCCGAUCGUUGGAUC